rnacentral:misc_RNA from 1 species
AGCUGGAGCUUGUCUCUUCUAACAAGCUAAACCGCACACCGUGUUGAUGGCGACAUAGUUACGGGAGGGUAACCCCACUGUUGUUUCUCCAUUGAGAUGACUGAUUCCCUGUUGCAAAGUUGCGCAGGGUGGAGUUGAACUUGACGUUUUCCUCCUUCUAUUUAUAUACUCCAAUGAACGGUUUUU